AGCAGUGGGGAAUUUUCCGCAAUGGGCGAAAGCCUGACGGAGCAAUGCCGCGUGAAGGCAGAAGGCCCACGGGUCAUGAACUUCUUUUCUCGGAGAAGAAAAAAUGACGGUAUCUGAGGAAUAAGCAUCGGCUAACUCUGUGCCAGCAGCCGCGGUAAGACAGAGGAUGCAAGCGUUAUCCGGAAUGAUUGGGCGUAAAGCGUCUGUAGGUGGCUUUUCAAGUCCGCCGUCAAAUCCCAGGGCUCAACCCUGGACAGGCGGUGGAAACUACCAAGCUGGAGUACGGUAGGGGCAGAGGGAAUAUUCCGGUGGAGCGGUGAAAUGCGUUGAGAUCGGAAAGAACACCCAACGGCGAAAGCACUCUGGCUGGGCCGACACUGACACUGAGA
rnacentral:rRNA from 1 species